AUUAUCCAACACUAAAACCAACACUAAACCCAAAACUUAACAGCUGUCAUACCACAACUAUUAACGAGAACAAUUUAAUUGUAGGAACGAUGAACAAUAUCCAUGAAAGCAUGAAAUGUUUCAAGGAGAACCAUGCGAAGAUGGCAGCAGGGUGGUGGCUGCGCAGGCAAUGCCGGGGACAUGGCGCAAGAGGACAGCGCCGGCAAAAAUGGGAAAAUUGGAGAAAAUCCUCGAGGUUGUGCUCGAACCUCCGGCCAGGCUGUCGACGGAAAUCGUCCCAUCGGUGUGACGCGCACCGCGAACAUAUAUAUAUAUAUGUGAAAAUUCGUAUAUAUAUAUAUAUAUAUAUUUCCGUGUGUUGAGUUUCGAGGCCGAUUGACGCCUUUCUUCGGAGGAAAACUUUCACGGCACCCGUUCGGAUCCCGAUGAGCGAUGACAAGCACCGUCCCAAUCGGGUCGGAAUCUUUUACAGCAACCACGUCUGAACCAAUGAAAAUUCUUGAAACGGAUCCUGACUGUCCCUGUGCUACGUCAAUCCAUUCAGCCUUCAGGCAAACAUUAAAUUUAUCUGCAGUCGCUCCACGGGGAAUAACUGGCAACGUUUUCCUGAAAUCGCCUGCCAACAUCCUGGCCGUCCCUGUGCUACGUCAAUCCAUUCAGCCUUCAGGCAAACAUUCAAUUUAUCUGCAGUCGCUCCACGGGGAAUAACUGGCAACGUUUUCCUGAAAUCGCCUCCCAACAGUAUAAUCAAGCCGCCAAAGAUGUUGGUUUUUCUGAAGAUCCUUCAGUGUGAAGUUAAGUGCUUCAAAUGAUUUCUUAUAUGCCAUUGUGAACUCAUCCCAAACAAUGAGCUUGCAUUAUAUCAACAGUUUUCCCAUUGCACUGGAUCGAGAAAUAUUGCAUGAGUAUCAAUUGUGUCUAAAAUAAACUUAAGCGUAGAAUGUGCAGUACGACCGCCAUCUAUAAGAGUCGCCGAGAUAAUGCUAACGCAAAAGUUAUGUCACAUCUUGAUCGAAUAGUGGCCAAAAUCAAUGAACUGACAAAUGUUUUCCCUGUUCCUCCAGAUCUAAUGACAGCUGAAGUGUUCACAAGUAUUUUGCAUUGUAAUUUAUUAAAUAUUUUUAAAAGACGGUGUGAACGGAAGGAGAUUGUAAAUCCAGUAUUUGUUUUCUUCUUAAUUGAUUAACGAGAGAAUAGCCGGAAGGAAAGAUCCGUAACAUACGUUUAGAGGAUAUGCAAGAAGUUGUGCUAAGGAAA